UACGUAGGGGGCAAGCGUUGUCCGGAAUCAUUGGGCGUAAAGCGCGUGUAGGCGGCUUGGUAAGUCCGUUCUGAAAGCCCGGGGCUCAACCCCGGAGGCGGAUGGAUACUGUCAAGCUUGAGUCCGGAAGAGGCGAGUGGAAUUCCCGGUGUAGCGGUGAAAUGCGCAGAUAUCGGGAGGAACACCUGUGGCGAAGGCGGCUCGCUGGGCCGGUCCUGACGCUGAGACGCGAAGGCGUGGGGAGCGAACGGG
rnacentral:rRNA from 1 species